rnacentral:lncRNA from 1 species
AGGACUAAAUGUAGUAACGGUGAGAAACUUAGAGGACCGAAAUAAAUCAAUUUUUAAUUAGAGGAUCAAUCCGAUACCAAUUAAAUAGUUAGGGGACCAAAACGGUAAUUUAACCUAAAAUAAACUAUAUAAUAAAAUAAUACACACUACAUAAUCAACAAAUAUUAUUUAAAAUCAUAUAAAAGACUCUAAAUAAUUCAAAAUAAAUAAAAUAACGACUAGGGCGUUCCAUUUAUGAUAUUAAUUAUGAUGUUGUUUUGAUGCUAUAUGAUGUUGAUUAUGUUGUGUUGUUUAUGUUAUUAUGAGAUGAUGAUUAUGUUGUGUGUUAAAAGAUGAUAUUUAUGAUGUGAUGAUCUACGUUGGUUAUGAUUUGAUUAUUAUGUGUUAUAUGAUGAUGUAUAUAAUAUGAUGAAUAUUAAUUUAAUGAUGAUUAGAAGUUGGUUGAGAUAUUAAGAAGUAUCACAUGAAGAAUUAUUAUUACUAAUAGAUGAAGUUUAAGUUGUUAAAUGCAUUUGAUGAAUUCUAUGCUUAAUAUUAUUGUUUGUGAAAUCUCGCCCCUUCUACUUGGAAAUGUUGCCCUUCGUAUGGGUAACUUGCAGGUGAUAGAGAAUAAGUUGUUGUUAGGUUGUUGUGGUGAGGGUCUAUCUCUCACGUGUGUCUUUAG